AACUUGAAGUUUGUUAUUCAUAUUACGAGAACAAAAGAUAAUAGAGUUCUAAGAUAAAAGAAUUCUUCACAAAAAAAUGGCAAAACACAUUUCCCAAUACUGUCUCUUGGGAAUUUUAUGCAUUGUGUUGAUUCUAGCUUCAGGACCAACACCAGGUGAUAGCUGCAAUCAGCCUACACUUUGUGAUAGCUAUGCUGAUUGCGACGUUGAGUGCCGCCAUAUUGGGUUUCACAGAGGAGUAUGUACUGACAUUCAGGGAACCAUAUCUUGUUGUUGUAUGUCAUGAAAUAAAGAAACUGAAAGUAGUGUGGCCAAGCUCAAUAUGAAAUAAAGAAAGAGAUAGACUUAUGCAACUUUACUAUAUAUGUAAGACUAUUUUGCAACAUUACUAUAUAUUUUAGGUACAAUAAUAUUUAAAUAGGUAAAUACCUUUUGGGUCCUUAACUUUGA